GAUGAACGCUAGCGGCAGGCCUAACACAUGCAAGUCGAGGGGUAGCAGGAUUAAGCUUGCUUAAUUGCUGACGACCGGCGCACGGGUGCGUAACGCGUAUGCAACCUACCUUAUACUGGGGUAUAGCCCGGAGAAAUUCGGAUUAAUCCCCCAUAGUACUAAUGAAUCGCAUGGUUUAUUAGUUAAAGCAUUGCGGUAUAAGAUGGGCAUGCGUCCUAUUAGCUAGAUGGUGAGGUAACGGCUCACCAUGGCUACGAUAGGUAGGGGGCCUGAGAGGGUGGUCCCACACACUGGUACUGAGACACGGACCAGACUCCUACGGGAGGCAGCAGUGAGGAAUAUUGGUCAAUGGGCGCAAGCCUGAACCAGCCAUGCCGCGUGCAGGAAGAAUGCCCUAUGGGUUGUAAACUGCUUUUAUUUGGGAAUAAACCUCUUUACGUGUAGAGAGCUGAAGGUACCAAAUGAAUAAGCACCGGCUAACUCCGUGCCAGCAGCCACAGUAA
rnacentral:rRNA from 1 species